UUUGCGGUAUAGUGGGAACGACUGUGUUUUGGUGUGAAUGGCAAGAGAGUUGGAACAGAACGAUUCUGAUGCUUUGUACAGGUCCAUAUUCUAUUAAGGAAAACCUUGUUGAACUUAAGAAGAAAGUGUAUCAUCUCGUCCACUUAAGCAUGACUAUCUGAGAAAGUUGAGCCAAUGAUCCUACGCCUCCUGCUGUUGAUGGCAUUGUUGAAGCAGCUCUACUUGAUGUCUGCUGAAAUCCAAAGUCAAGAUUCUUCCAAACUUGGCAAAAAACAACCAAAUUUAUUCCAUGGAGAGAAUUCUUUGAGAAACUGUGGUAUUUUGGUGUAACGUGGUUAGGAUACGAACAUUUCUGGGUUCCAAUAAUUUCAACCCACCAUGUUAAAAACUGGUUGAAGUGACACCUUACCAUAGCAAGAGUCAUAGACACCGGACACCUAUCUUAUCUUAUCUUAUUUUGGAGAUAAACAUCAUGUGCUUCAAAUACUCAAUAACACUCGGAAAUUGGCAACACAUUAUGUUUAUCGACAUUGUAAACACAAAUGUAAACCAAAAGGUCCAAACGCGUUUUUGUGUCUGUACUCAUAGACAUCGAGUAGUGAAACAGGGAAUUU